CCUACGGGAGGCAGCAGUGGGGAAUUUUGGACAAUGGGCGAAAGCCUGAUCCAGCCAUGCCGCGUGCGGGAAGAAGGCCUUCGGGUUGUAAACCGCUUUUGUCAGGGAAGAAACGGUCUGGGUUAAAUACCCUGGGCUAAUGACGGUACCUGAAGAAUAAGCACCGGCUAACUACGUGCCAGCAGCCGCGGUAAUACGUAGGGUGCAAGCGUUAAUCGGAAUUACUGGGCGUAAAGCGUGCGCAGGCGGUCCUAUAAGACAGAUGUGAAAUCCCCGGGCUCAACCUGGGAACUGCAUUUGUGACUGUAGGGCUUGAGUACGGUAGAGGGGGAUGGAAUUCCGCGUGUAGCAGUGAAAUGCGUAGAUAUGCGGAGGAACACCGAUGGCGAAGGCAAUCCCCUGGACCUGUACUGACGCUCAUGCACGAAAGCGUUGGGGAGCAAACAGGAUUUAGAUACCCUGGUAGUCCACGCCCUAAACGNUGUCAACUGUUGUAGGAAACGUUCCUUUCAGUAACGAGCUAACGCGUGAAGUUGACCCGCGUCGGGUAGGUACGGACCGCGAAGGUUAGUAAACGUUAAACGGUAAGUUAGACGGACGUGAGACGUAGACGACGGACGACGACGAGGGAGGUAGG
rnacentral:rRNA from 1 species